UGACGAGUUUGAUCCUGGCUCAGAUUGAACGCUGGCGGAAUGCUUUACACAUGCAAGUCGAACGGUAGAGGGGGCAACCCCUUGAGAGUGGCGAACGGGUGAGUAAUAUAUCGGAACGUGCCCAGUCGUGGGGGAUAACGUAGUGAAAAUUACGCUAAUACCCGGCAUACGAUCUAAGGAUGAAAGCGGGGACCGUAAGGCCUCGCGCGAUUGGAGCGGCCGAUAUCAGAUUAGGUAGUUGGUGAGGUAAACGGCUCACCGAAGCCAACGAUCUGUAGCUGGUCG
rnacentral:rRNA from 1 species